GGCAGUGUGGCAUAGUAGUUUAAAUGUUGGACUAACAGUCUGCAGACCAGGGUUCGAUUCCCAGCUUGGUCA